rnacentral:rRNA from 1 species
UACGAAGGGGGCUAGCGUUGCUCGGAAUCACUGGGCGUAAAGCGCACGUAGGCGGAUUCCUAAGUCGGGGGUGAAAUCCUGGAGCUCAACUCCAGAACUGCCUUCGAUACUGGGAAUCUUGAGUCCGGAAGAGGUGAGUGGAACUGCGAGUGUAGAGGUGAAAUUCGUAGAUAUUCGGAAGAACACCAGUGGCGAAGGCGACUCACUGGCCCGAUACUGACGCUGAGGCGCGAAAGCGUGGGGAGCAAACAGG